rnacentral:rRNA from 1 species
GCCUGGCCCUAAAUCUUGAUGUUCUAUCCAACCUGAACAUCCGCCCGAGAACUACGAGCACAAACGCUUAAAACUCUAAGGACUUGGCGGUGCCCCAAACCCACCUAGAGGAGCCUGUUCUGUAAUCGAUAAUCCACGAUUUACCUAACCAUUCCUUGCCAAAUCAGCCUACAUACCGCCGUCGCCAGCCCACCCCCCCUGAAGGUGAAACAGUGAGCGCAAUAGUCCCAUCCCACUAGCAAGACAGGUCAAGGUAUAGCCUAUGGAAUGGAAGCAAUGGGCUACAUUUUCUAAGUUAGAACAUUACGGAAAGGGGUAUGAAAUUGCCCCUCGAAGGCGGAUUUAGCAGUAAAGUGGGACAAUCGAGCCCUCUUUAAGCCGGCUCUGAGGCACGU